rnacentral:rRNA from 1 species
CUACGGGCGGCUGCAGUGGGGAAUAUUGCACAAUGGGCGCAAGCCUGAUGCAGCCAUGCCGCGUGUAUGAAGAAGGCCUUCGGGUUGUAAAGUACUUUCAGCGGGGAGGAAGGGAGUAAAGUUAAUACCUUUGCCCAUUGACGUUACCCGCAGAAGAAGCACCGGCUAAGUCCGUGCCAGCAGCCGCGGUAAUACGGAGGGUGCAAGCGUUAAUCGGAAUUACUGGGCGUAAAGCGCACGCAGGCGGUUUGUUAAGUCAGAUGUGAAAUCCCCGGGCUCAACCUGGGAACUGCAUCUGAUACUGGCAAGCUUGAGUCUCGUAGAGGGGAGUAGAAUUCCAGGUGUAGCGGUGAAAUGCGUAGAGAUCUGGAGGAAUACCGGUGGCGAAGGCGGCCCCCUGGACGAAGACUGACGCUCAGGUGCGAAAGCGUGGGGAGCAAACAGGAUUAGAUACCCUAGUAGUC